UACGGAGGGUGCAAACGUUGCUCGGAUUCACUGGGCGUAAAGGGUGCGUAGGCGGUCGGGUAAGUCUGAUGUGAAAUCUCACAGCUUAACUGUGAAACUGCAUUGGAUACUAUUCGGCUUGAGAGUUGGAGGGGGGACUGGAAUUCUUGGUGUAGCAGUGAAAUGCGUAGAUAUCAAGAGGAACACCAGUGGCGAAGGCGAGUCCCUGGACAACUUCUGACGCUGAGGCACGAAAGCUAGGGGAGCAAACAGG
rnacentral:rRNA from 1 species